GGGUCAGUAGGUUGGUCGUGCCACCGGUACGUACUGGUCUCACUGAUUCCUCCUUCCUGAAGAACCGUAACGCCAUUAAUUUGGUGUUGCGGGGAAACAGGACUGUUACUUUGAAAAAAUUAGAGUGUUUAAAGCAAGCUAACGCUUGAAUACAUUAGCAUGGAAUAAUGAAAUAGGACGAUCGAUCCUAUUUUGUUGGUUUCCAGGAUUGACGUA
rnacentral:rRNA from 1 species